UGGGGAAUAUUGCACAAUGGGCGCACGUCUGAUGCAGCAACGCCGCGUGAACGAUGAAGGUCUUCGGAUCGUAAAGUUCUGUUGCAGGGGAAGAUAAUGACGGUACCCUGUGAGGAAGCCCCGGCUAACUACGUGCCAGCAGCCGCGGUAAUACGUAGGGGGCUAGCGUUAUCCGGAUUUACUGGGCGUAAAGGGUGCGUAGGUGGUCUUUCAAGUCGGUGGUUAAAGGCUACGGCUCAACCGUAGUUAGCCUCCGAAACUGGAAGACUUGAGUGCAGGAGAGGGAAGUGGAAUUCCCAGUGUAGCGGUGAAAUGCGUAGAGAUUGGGAGGAACACCAGGAGCGAGGGCGGCUUUCUGGACUGCAACUGACACUGAGGCACGAAAGCGUGGGUAGCAAACAGG
rnacentral:rRNA from 1 species